rnacentral:rRNA from 1 species
UACGUGGGGAGCAAGCGUUGUUCGGAUUUACUGGGCGUAAAGGGCGCGUAGGCGGUCAGCACAGGUCAGUUGUGAAAUCUCCGGGCUUAACUCGGAAAGGUCAACUGAUACUGUGCGACUAGAGUGCGGAAGGGGCAACUGGAAUUCUUGGUGUAGCGGUGAAAUGCGUAGAUAUCAAGAGGAACACCUACGGCGAAGGCGGGUUGCUGGGCAGACACUGACGCUGAGGUGCGAAAGCCAGGGGAGCGAACGGG